ACGUAGGGAGCGAGCGUUGUCCGGAAUUACUGGGUGUAAAGGGAGCGUAGGCGGGAUGGUAAGUCAGAUGUGAAAACUAUGGGCUCAACCCAUAGACUGCAUUUGAAACUGCUGUUCUUGAGUGAAGUAGAGGUAAGCGGAAUUCCUAGUGUAGCGGUGAAAUGCGUAGAUAUUAGGAGGAACAUCGGUGGCGAAGGCGGCUUACUGGGCUUUUACUGACGCUGAGGCUCGAAAGCGUGGGGAGCAAACAG
rnacentral:rRNA from 1 species